AAUCCUGAAGGUUCUAUUCUAAGACAAAGAUGCCUUCAAGAUUAACCUUCCACCCGAGUCGAGAACUCUCAUCAUCUCUUCUUUGAUCGAUUUUGUAGUUCUUUUCGACCAACUUCCCUAUGCUGAACAAAUAAUUUUUCAUGCCUGGUAUGUACAAUACAUUGGAAAUUGAUGACCUCUUGCCAUCUUUCCUCAUAAUCAGAACAUCACCAAUA
rnacentral:lncRNA from 1 species